rnacentral:rRNA from 1 species
GACGAACGCUGGCGGCGUGCCUAACACAUGCAAGUCGAACGGGGUUGAGUGCUUCGGUAUUCAACUUAGUGGCGAACGGGUGAGUAACGCGUGAAGAACCUGCCUUCCAGUGGGGGACAACAGUUGGAAACGACUGCUAAUACCGCAUGACACUUCAGAGGGGCAUCCCUUAGAAGUCAAAGCUAUAUGUGCUGGAAGAUGGCUUCGCGUCUGAUUAGCUAGAUGGCGGGGUAACGAGUGGGGAAUAUUGGGGCAAUGGGGGAAACCCCUGACCCAGCAACGCCGCGUGAAGGAAGAAGGCCUUCGGGUUGUAAACUUCUUUUACCAGGGACGAAGGACGUGACGGUACCUGGAGAAAAAGCAACGGCUAACUACGUGCCAGCCGCCGCGGU